CUGGGGCCUGUUACUGUUUAACAGGCUUCUGGUGUGCAGUAAUUUUCCCAGACUCGAUAGAAACUCCAACGCUCAAGUCUCAAGGGCCAAAUGCUAACAUCGGAGCACUUGUGUGGGAAACGGUUGUGAGUGGAGAAGAGGCCUCCUAAGUCUGCAUGACUCAGGGACAUGAGAGGAAGUACUCAGAGCAUCAGACGCCUAUGCCGGCAUCACCGGGUACUCUAGGGGCCCCAGUAAACGAAAUCACGCUGCAACCAUCCUGCCGUCUCUCAGAAUCUAACUUCAGCAUUCAUCCAUGUUCCAGUGUGUGGGAGAAUUCUC
rnacentral:lncRNA from 1 species